CACCAAGUCCCAUUUAGGUCCCCUUUUAAUGUGACUCCUGUCACAAUGUACAUCACAGUGUGUGAUAAUUGCCCCUAAUUAUUAGUUUGUGUCACCUACUAGAUUGGAAAUUCCACAAGGCCCCAGGUCAUGCUUGUCUCGGUCACGGUCACAUCUUCCAUGCCUAGCAGAAUGCCUGGCAGGAAGAAGAGGCUCAGAAUCUACUUGGUAAAUAAUUGAACAAAUCAAGGACCUUUGAUUUAUGCAACCAGCUCAAAUGGACAAGUUAUUCCGUGAUUUAUGCUGAGAUCACUCAAAACUCAAGAGAUGGAACUCUGGGCAGGAAUGGACAGCUCUGGCUCAUUGAAUCUGAAACCUAGGAAGCCUCUCUGUGGCUUGAGAAAUAAUGACUCUCUAGAUACAGAAUAUCUACAAUGAAGCAAAGCAGAUUUCUAAAUAUUGCUUCUAACCUCUGAGGAAAGGAGAGCCUAGAACAUUUCUACCACUCAGGGAAAAGAGCAUCCAUGAACUACAAGUUAAAGAUCUCGGCUGGAAUAUAUUUAUGGAAGAACUCUCCCAAGAUUUGGGGUCUGGAGAAUGAGAAGUACUAGAGACACUUCUGCCUAUGAGUUUGUUAUUAAAAAUGAAACAAGUUUCCAGAAUGUGCACCCAA